AUAUUUCUAAAGUACGGAAAAUAUCAAACGAAGAGAUAACCAAGUUAAAGAAAAACAAUGAAGAAUUCCUAAUCAUACCGAUAGUAUUAAAGAAUGAAGUCUUCAAAAUUAACAGAAUAACCGAACUCCACUACCUACCCCAUAAUGCGAGGUUUACAGUAAUUAUUCAACUUACAUGAAGCAGUCAGAAAGUUUAUUGAGAUUUGAGAAAUAAAGUUACACUCAUAAGUAGCAAAACAGUGGAUGAAGAAGUGUGGGAUUAUGAGUGAUUAUUUCAUUCUAAAGCAGACAUAAUCAAGUCUUGCUCACUAUCAUGAAAAUUUACAAUAACAAUCAGCAAGAAAAACUUCAAGGGUACUGGCUAGGCUAACCAAUUCAUGGAAUUCUGUUUGUAUUUGAAAUUAUAAAUAGCUAUUGUAAAACAAAAGUUUUCCAAAUAAAGAUUUUGUAAAUAA